AACGAACGCUGGCGGCAUGCCUAACACAUGCAAGUCGAACGGGAUCCUAGCUUGCUAGGUGAGAGUGGCGGACGGGUGAGUAACACGUGGGAAUCUGCCUUUUGGUUCGGGAUAACCGCGGGAAACUGCGGCUAAUACCGAAUGCCCUCGUGAGAGGAAAGAUUUAUCGCCAGAAGAGGAGCCCGCGUCCGAUUAGGUAGUUGGUGGGGUAAAGGCCUACCAAGCCGACGAUCGGUAGCUGGUCUGAGAGGAUGAUCAGCCACACUGGGACUGAGAUACGGCCCAGACUCCUACGGGAGGCAGCAGUGGGGAAUAUUGGACAAUGGGGGCAACCCUGAUCCAGCAAUGCCGCGUGAGUGAUGAAGGCCUUAGGGUUGUAAAGCUCUUUUACCAGGGAUGAUAAUGACAGUACCUGGAGAAUAAGCUCCGGCUAACUCCGUGCCAGCAGCCGCGGUAAU
rnacentral:rRNA from 1 species